CAGCUCACGGUGAAACCAGAGCGGGGCGCUUCCAGAAUGUGACGGAGCUGCGAUUGGCUGGUUUGGAUCUGACGGACGCAUCGUCUCGUCUGCUGGUGCGUUACGUUCCUCACCUGACCAGGUUAGACCUGAGUCAGUGUGGAAACAUCACAGACCAGACGGUUCUCACCCUCUCCUCCCCCAUCUCCCCCUUGAGAGAGAGCCUCACCCACGUCAACUUGGCAGGUUGUGUUAAAGUGACGGAGCAGUGCGUCUCGUUGUUGCGUCGCUGCUCGUCACUGCAGACGGUCGACCUUCGCUCCUGCUCGCUCCUCUCGUCUGAGACUGGACAGCUUCUCUCCUUCCCCUCCCACAACUCCUCCUCCUCUUCCUCUGCCACAGUCGCUGCCUCCUCCUCCUGCCCUCCUGACGACAGAACGCUGAUGAAGAACAGUUAAAGUCUGUGCCACCUGACAGCCCCGCCCCCCACCUCCUUACACUACAGACAGGGGAGGAAGAGGAGGAUAUAUUUUUGCGAUGACAUUGUGGGUCAUAGUAAAACAAUAGAAACUCUGAGCAUGUACAUAUUUGUUCUCUGUAUAAUUCUGGCUGUGUGUAAAUAUCUGUAGUUUACUGUAAAUUACCUUUAACCUUUGGACCCCAACACACUCCUCCCCCUCCCUCCUCUCCGUCUAUCCUUCCUUCUGUCUACCCUGCGACCAAUCGUCACGCUGAUGUCCACCUGCUCGUCCGCAGCCGCACGACAGGAUGUUCACCCCCGGACACACCCCCACAGGAAGUGAGAGUUAUAGGUUGGGGACCGUAUCGACUUAUAGAAAAGUUGCAGCUAACAGUUUCCCUCCGCUUCCAGUGUUUGUGCUAAGCUAGGCUAUCUUGAGAUCUGGUGCAGUUCAAUGAGCGGACGAAUCACAUUCAGAUGAUCCUGAUGUGUCGCACCUCAGGUUCCUGUUCAUGUUGCUAUCACGUGAUGUCACCUGGCCUCAUGCUGACGGCCCGGCUGUUUCGGUCCGAGCUGCGUCUGUGAGCCAAUGACCUGACUUUCCGUGUUCAGGUGGAACUGGCAAACGAGUUUAAUUGACAUCAAUCCUUUUUCAUUUCAAACGAAAGUGACCAAUCAAAUGAGAGACUUGGCAUGUAGCAAUGGUCCCUGACUGGACGCUCACUGGGGAAGUCGUGGUUGAGAGGUUGCCACCAGGGGGCGCCUGUGAGCCUGUGGUGGAUGUUGUUACAUCAGUUUUUCCUGCAGCUUGAGAGAUGAUGUACAUACGAAAGUUUAGAUAUGUUUAUAGAACAAAAGUAUCAAACCUGUGCAACACGUUGCCACAGUCGAGUCAAACAAGUUCAUUCAUGAACGUACCUCAUCACUUCCACCAUCCAAUCAGAGACUGAGCGUGUGCGUGCGUGUGCGUGCGUGCGUGCGUGUGUGUGUGUGUGCAGUACGAGCAGGAGUUCAAACCAUAAGAAGGGACUGUGCUUUAUUUGGAUCGGCCCCUCAUCACCUCCGUCCUGCAGUCAACUUUCACAAGCUCAAAAAAAUAACCUUCAAAGCUCCGCCCACAGUGACAUAUAGCUUUAAAGUUGUUGCUAUGGUUACAUCUGGAGUUCUCCAGCCUCUGGAUCAGAGACUCGUGUGAACUGAUCUCGUUUUAUUUUGAAAACUCUGGUUUUGUGUUUUAGUCUGAACACAAACUGAGACUUUAGGAAACGGUGACGCCCACGUCCUCUUCUGAUUGGUUCUCAUCAGUCACAUGACUCGACUACCAGCGGUGAACACAAAGCGUCGCUAACACUUCCUGUCAGUGACAGCUCCACCUCGUCCCUGCUCUGACUCUUCACCAUCACUGCUCCUCCUUCAGAGGAGUUUCUGUUGCUAAGCAACCAACUGCUGAGGAGACAAUCUACUUCCUGUUUACAUUACAUGACCAGUGGACGUGAACGGUCAUGUGACCUGUGUUUUCAGGCGUGUUGGUGUGUCAGAGAUUAUUACUCAUGCGUCUCUGAAACACUCACCUGAACAGAGGUUUUUUUCAAUUUGAAAUGAAAAGGAAUCGGUGUGGACGCAGCCUGAAGGGUCUAGAUUCACGGUGAGGGAGGUUAGCGCCCCGUCUGGUCACCUGACAUGUCAACAACCUGUGCGCUCUUAACCUCCACAGGUUCCCCCAGUGGUGAACGUUGGAGUUGUUCUGUGCUUGUGAAAGACAACGUUUUCCCUCUGCUACAUUCUUUGUGCUAACCUACGGUAGCAGUUUCCCCCUGCUUCCAGUCUUUAUGCUAAGCUAACUGGAACAGAUCCAUCUUUGAAACAUAAAUUGUGGGAUUGUUCCUUUAAACGACUCGCUGGCUGUUGAGUGGGCGGCGCCGCAGUGUGGUUCAAGGUGUGUGUGUGUGUGUGUGUGUGUGUGUGUGUGUGUGUGUGUGUGUGCCUCCACGUCUUCAACAUUCGCCUCAAUCACUCAUGUUUGUUCUUUGUUUUUUACAUCUGCUCUGUUUCCCUCCAUCGUCGCCUCCGAUCAGAUUCUUCAUCAUUGAUCGGUGAUUGAUUGUUUUUUCUCAGGAGUCUUUAGUUUUUUCUUUACGUCAGGUUUUUAUUUAUUUUUUUCGUGUCAGCUUCCAUCCUGCUGAAUCUGAACUCGGAUGUUUCACACUCGUCAGUCUUAAAGAAUCUGUCUCUUUCUGUUUCUACGCGAUGACAUCACUUCCUGUUUUGCUGCAUUCUUUAGAUUGAAUUUUUUUAUGGAAGCUCAAGUCUGCCCGGUAAAAGAAAAACAAAACAAAGAAGAUGAGAGACAUAUUUUCAUAUUUUAAUUCCUCAUCUUCAGUUAUUGUCUUUUUAAAUAAAAAUUAUUCAAACUUCUUAGUUUUACUUAAAUUUGAGUCAAAAGACACAAUUCUGAAUUUUCUUUUGUUUUCAUGGCUGAAUUGAGCUUCUGUAGAAUAAAGGGGCCUCGCUUUUGAAAAGUUCACCACAGCAUAAAAAUCUUUUAAACAAAAUCAAAUUAUUGUUGUGACGCAUUAAAGUAAGAAAAUAUGAGACGGGAUGCGGUCGUGAAUUCAGACGUUUCAUAAACAACGAGCCGAUGUUUGUGACGUGAUGGAAACUCUGAGUCACAGCGAUCUGAUUGUUCACGUGUGAACUGGCUGCUCAAAAUGCGAUGGACUACAGUCCCCAACCAAACAAGUCUCCCUCUGCUGGCCGACAUAAUAGAUAACUGAUGCUACGUUAGCCUCGUUGUUGCACCACAUCCGCUGCUCUGUCGUCAGACGACCUGAAACUCGACAAAACAUAAAGAUGAAAUUAUUUCCUGAAAAUGGAUGCUCUUUAGAGACCUGUGUUACAAGCAUGAUAGCAAUCCUGGCUAACAUGCUAACAACACAGAUUGAGAUUAUGUCGAGGUCUGAAAUAAUCAGUUGAUCAAUUGUUUUGUAAACAAAGUUAAAUUGAAUUGACUACCGCUUUGAAAAUGGAUCAACUGUUAAAAAACACUUUGGCGAUGCCGUUGGUUCAGUUGAUUUUCUUUAUUUCGCUCUGUUAAUCAUAAAAGCUUCAUACCAUUAGUAGUUAUUGUUCAUUUUAAUAAUCGUCAUCAACGGAUCAUGGAACCGGAGCCACAGGGACCCCUGGUGUUUAUCUGCAAAAUAACCUCCAUAGGGAAGACACUCCCAUCUGCCGUCUGAGUUGAGGAUGUGGGCCUUUCACAUGGGGGGGCACAGGGCCCGUGAUUGGUCCAUGAGGUCGUAAAGAAGCAGCAGGUUGGUGUUGACGUGUGACAUAGUCCAUGAAUCGACACCAUCGGUGGUUACAAUUCAAAUAGCCCUCACGCCGUGUCGACGCCAUGUUGUGCCAUAAACUCACCAGAUCCACGUGUCACAGUGUAAACAUGUGAGUGGGUCAGUUUUUAUUUUUGUAUUCUGUUGUGAUUCAUUUUUUUACUGUAAUGUUUCGCUCUGUCCCGCUGAUGAUGCUUCACGUUUCACCUAGCAGCAAGUGAGGAGAUCAAAUGGGAUUGGACUAUAAUCUCUGACUCCUGAAAGCUCUUAUCCAAUCAGAUGUCUGACAUAUCUUAGUAAAAAGUGAGCGGGUGUUUUAAAGAUGCACUGGAUCAUCAUCAUGUUUUGCCAAAUGUACUUUUGUUGUGAAAAUGGGCAUUUUAACGUUUGUUACUUUGUUUUGUUCCUUUUUCUUCUUUGUAUCGAUUCUUCUGUUGUUGAUGAAAAAAUGAAGAAGUUGAACAAAAAGUAAAAAGAGACAAAAAGAAAAACUCAAGGCAGCUACGUACGAGAGACUACUGUAAAACCACCGACCAAUAAAGAAGCAAUGGGUUUGUUUUUA